rnacentral:rRNA from 1 species
UGCAGUCGACGGUGAAGCAGAGCUUGCUCUGUGGAUCAGUGGCGAACGGGUGAGUAACACGUGAGCAACCUGCCCCGGACUCUGGGAUAAGCGCUGGAAACGGCGUCUAAUACCGGAUACGAGACAAGACGGCAUCGUCAUUGUCUGGAAAGAUUUUUUGGUCUGGGAUGGGCUCGCGGCCUAUCAGCUUGUUGGUGAGGUAAUGGCUCACCAAGGCGUCGACGGGUAGCCGGCCUGAGAGGGUGACCGGCCACACUGGGACUGAGACACGGCCCAGACUCCUACGGGAGGCAGCAGUGGGGAAUAUUGCACAAUGGGCGAAAGCCUGAUGCAGCAACGCCGCGUGAGGGAUGACGGCCUUCGGGUUGUAAACCUCUUUUAGCAGGGAAGAAGCGAAAGUGACGGUACCUGCAGAAAAAGCGCCGGCUAACUACGUGCCAGCAGCCGCGGUAAUACGUAGGGCGCAAGCGUUAUCCGGAAUUAUUGGGCGUAAAGAGCUCGUAGGCGGUUUGUCGCGUCUGCUGUGAAAUCCCGAGGCUCAACCUCGGGCCUGCAGUGGGUACGGGCAGACUAGAGUGCGGUAGGGGAGAUUGGAAUUCCUGGUGUAGCGGUGGAAUGCGCAGAUAUCAGGAGGAACACCGAUGGCGAAGGCAGAUCUCUGGGCCGUAACUGACGCUGAGGAGCGAAAGGGUGGGGAGCAAACAGGCUUAGAUACCCUGGUAGUCCACCCCGUAAACGUUGGGAACUAGUUGUGGGGUCCAUUCCACGGAUUCCGUGACGCAGCUAACGCAUUAAGUUCCCCGCCUGGGGAGUACGGCCGCAAGGCUAAAACUCAAAGGAAU